UACGGAGGGUGCAAGCGUUAUCCGGAUUUACUGGGUUUAAAGGGUGUGUAGGCGGGCUUUUAAGUCAGUGGUGAAAUCUCCGGGCUCAACCUGGAAACUGCCAUUGAUACUAUUAGUCUUGAAUUUUGUUGAGGUAGGCUGAAUAAGUCAUGUAGCGGUGAAAUGCAUAGAUAUGACUUAGAACACCAAUUGCGAAGGCAGCUUGCUAAACAAAUAUUGACGCUGAGGCACGAAAGCGUGGGGAUCAAACAGG
rnacentral:rRNA from 1 species